rnacentral:rRNA from 1 species
AGAGUUUGAUCCUGGCUCAGAUUGAACGCUGGCGGCAUGCUUUACACAUGCAAGUCGAACGGUAACAGGGUGCUUGCACCGCUGACGAGUGGCGAACGGGUGAGUAAUGCAUCGGAAUGUACCGUGUAAUGGGGGAUAGCUCGGCGAAAGCCGGAUUAAUACCGCAUACGCCCUGAGGGGGAAAGUGGGGGACCGUAAGGCCUCACGUUAUACGAGCAGCCGAUGUCUGAUUAGCUAGUUGGUGGGGUAAAGGCUCACCAAGGCUUCGAUCAGUAGCGGGUCUGAGAGGAUGAUCCGCCACACUGGGACUGAGACACGGCCCAGACUCCUACGGGAGGCAGCAGUGGGGAAUUUUGGACAAUGGGCGCAAGCCUGAUCCAGCCAUGCCGCGUGUCUGAAGAAGGCCUUAGGGUUGUAAAGGACUUUUGUCCGGGAGCAAAUCCCAGUGGUUAAUACCUACUGGGGCUGAGAGUACCGGAAGAAUAAGCACCGGCUAACUACGUGCCAGCA